UGGGGAAUUUUGGACAAUGGGGGAAACCCUGAUCCAGCCAUCCCGCGUGUGCGAUGAAGGCCUCCGGGUUGUAAAGCACUUUUGGCAGGAAAGAAACGUCAUGGGUUAAUACCCCGUGAAACUGACGGUACCUGCAGAAUAAGCACCGGCUAACUACGUGCCAGCAGCCGCGGUAAUACGUAGGGUGCAAGCGUUAAUCGGAAUUACUGGGCGUAAAGCGUGCGCAGGCGGUUCGGAAAGAAAGAUGUGAAAUCCCAGAGCUCAACUUUGGAACUGCAUUUUUAACUACCGGGCUAGAGUGUGUCAGAGGGAGGUGGAAUUCCGCGUGUAGCAGUGAAAUGCGUAGAUAUGCGGAGGAACACCGAUGGCGAAGGCAGCCUCCUGAGAUAACACUGACGCUCAUGCACGAAAGCGUGGGGAGCAAACAGG
rnacentral:rRNA from 1 species